UAAUACGGAGGGGGCAAGCGUUGUUCGGAAUUACUGGGCGUAAAGAGCGAGCAGGUGGUUCAUUAAGUCAAUUGUGAAAGCUCAAGGCUUAACCUUGAAAUUGCUUUUGAUACUGAUGAACUAGAGUUUGGGAGAGGAUAGUGGAAUUCUAAGUGUAGAAGUGAAAUUCGUAGAUAUUUAGAGGAACACCGAUAGCGAAGGCAACUAUCUGGCCCUUUACUGACACUCAGAAGCGAAAGCUUGGGUAGCAAACAGGAUUAGAUACCCUGGUAGUCCAUGCUGUAAACGAUGAGUGCUAGAUGUUAGAAGUUUACUUCUAGUAUCGAAGCUAACGCGUUAAGCACUCCGCCUGGGGAGUACGGCCGCAAGGCUA
rnacentral:rRNA from 1 species